AAAGUAUUGAAGGAAGAAGAGGAAGAACAUGAGGAGUGGAUGAGGUCACUUGGUCUGUUCAGCUGGAGAAGAGGAGACUCAUCUUGGUCUACAGCUUCUUCAGGAGGGGCAGUGAGAAAAACAUGCAAAUGAAGUGUGAAAGAGAAAUUAUUCUGCAAGCAGACAGGAGCAGCAUCACUGGAAGAACAGGGCCAUCAAGAGAAUCCCAGAUCCAGGGCACAAGUGAGAGAAAUCACAGAAAGCUGGGACUGACACCACCACACUGAUGGGCAAAGUUGUCUGUAAUGAGCCAUAUACCAGGAGCUGAGAGGAGCCUGGCCAGCACCACACAUGAUCAGAAAUAGAAAUCCUGAGCUCAGCCAGGAGUGAUGGAAGAGUUUUGGC